UGGCGACCGGCGCACGGGUGCGUAACGCGUAUGCAACCUACCCAUAACAGGGGGAUAACACUGAGAAAUUGGUACUAAUACCCCAUAACAUCAGGACCGGCAUCGGUUCUGGUUGAAAACUCCGGUGGUUAUGGAUGGGCAUGCGUUGUAUUAGCUGGUUGGUGAGGUAACGGCUCACCAAGGCAACGAUACAUAGGGGGACUGAGAGGUUAACCCCCCACAUUGGUACUGAGACACGGACCGA
rnacentral:rRNA from 1 species